rnacentral:rRNA from 1 species
UUGGGCGAACCUGCCUCAUACAGAGGGAUAAUCAUGUGAAAACGUGACUAAUACCGCAUGUCGUUUCGGGAGGGCAUCCUCCUGAAAGAAAAGGAGCAAUCCGGUAUGAGAUGGGCCCGCAUCUGAUUAGCUAGUUGGUGAGAUAACAGCCCACCAAGGCGACGAUCAGUAGCCGACCUGAGAGGGUGAUCGGCCACAUUGGGACUGAGACACGGCCCAA